rnacentral:rRNA from 1 species
GUCCACGCCGUAAACGAUGGGCACUAGGUGCUGGGGGAACGACCCCUUCGGUGCCGCAGCUAACGCGAUAAGUGCCCCGCCUGGGGAGUACGGCCGCAAGGCUGAAACUCAAAGGAAUUGACGGGGCCCGCACAAGCGGUGGAGCAUGUGGUUUAAUUCGAAGCAACGCGAAGAACCUUACCUGGGUUUGACAUGCUGGUGUAAGCCUGGUGAAAGCCAGGCCCUCCUUCGGGACACCAGUGCAGGUGCUGCAUGGCUGUCGU